GAUGAACGCUGGCGGCGUGCCUAAUACAUGCAAGUCGAGCGAACAGACGAGGAGCUUGCUCCUCUGACGUUAGCGGCGGACGGGUGAGUAACACGUGGAUAACCUACCUAUAAGACUGGGAUAACUUCGAGAAACCGGAGCUAAUACCGGAUAAUAUAUUGAACCGCAUGGUUCAAUAGUGAAAGACGGUUUUGCUGUCACUUAUAGAUGGAUCCGCGCCGCAUUAGCUAGUUGGUAAGGUAACGGCUUACCAAGGCGACGAUGCGUAGCCGACCUGAGAGGGUGAUCGGCCACACUGGAACUGAGACACGAUCCAGACUCCUACGGGAGGCAGCAGUAGGGAAUCUUCCGCAAUGGGCGAAAGCCUGACGGAGCAACGCCGCGUGAGUGAUGAAGGUCUUCGGAUCGUAAAACUCUGUUAUUAGGGAAGAACAAAUGUGUAAGUAACUAUGCACGUCUUGACGGUACCUAAUCAGAAAGCCACGGCUAACUACGUG
rnacentral:rRNA from 1 species